ACUACAUGAAGCUGGAAUCGCUAGUAAUCGCGGAUCAGAAUGCCGCGGUGAAUACGUUCCCGGGUCUUGUACACACCGCCCGUCACACCAUGGGAGUCGGAAAUGCCCGAAGUCUGUGACCCAACCUACGGGAGGGAGCAGCCGAAGGCAGGUCGGAUGACUGGGGUGAAGUCGUAACAAGGUAAC
rnacentral:rRNA from 1 species